rnacentral:rRNA from 1 species
GUGGGGAAUAUUGGACAAUGGGCGCAAGCCUGAUCCAGCAAUGCCGCGUGGGUGAAGAAGGUCUUCGGAUCGUAAAGCCCUUUCGACAGGGACGAUGAUGACGGUACCUGUAGAAGAAGCCCCGGCUAACUUCGUGCCAGCAGCCGCGGUAAUACGAAGGGGGCUAGCGUUACUCGGAAUUACUGGGCGUAAAGGGCGCGUAGGCGGCUCUGUUAGUCAGGCGUGAAAUUCCUGGGCUUAACCUGGGGACUGCGCUUGAUACUGCAGGGCUUGAGGCCGAGAGAGGGUGGUGGAAUUCCCAGUGUAGAGGUGAAAUUCGUAGAUAUUGGGAAGAACACCGGUGGCGAAGGCGACCACCUGGCUCGGUUCUGACGCUGAGGCGCGACAGCGUGGAGAGCAAACAGGAUUAGAUACCCUGGUAGUCC